rnacentral:rRNA from 1 species
CAUAGGUUAAUGAGGCGAACCGGGGGAACUGAAACAUCUAAGUACCCCGAGGAAAAGAAAUCAACCGAGAUUCCCCCAGUAGCGGCGAGCGAACGGGGAGCAGCCCAGAGCCUGAAUCAGUAUGUGUGUUAGUGGAAGCGUCUGGAAAGGCGCGCGAUACAGGGUGACAGCCCCGUACACAAAAAUGCACAUGCUGUGAGCUCGAUGAGUAGGGCGGGACACGUGGUAUCCUGUCUGAAUAUGGGGGGACCAUCCUCCAAGGCUAAAUACUCCUGACUGACCGAUAGUGAACCAGUACCGUGAGGGAAAGGCGAAAAGAACCCCGGCGAGGGGAGUGAAAAAGAACCUGAAACCGUGUACGUACAAGCAGUGGGAGCACGCUUAGGCGUGUGACUGCGUACCUUUUGUAUAAUGGGUCAGCGACUUAUAUUCUGUAGCAAGGUUAACCGAAUAGGGGAGCCGAAGGGAAACCGAGUCUUAACUGGGCGUUAAGUUGCAGGGUAUAGACCCGAAACCCGGUGAUCUAGCCAUGGGCAGGUUGAAGGUUGGGUAACACUAACUGGAGGACCGAACCGACUAAUGUUGAAAAAUUAGCGGAUGACUUGUGGCUGGGGGUGAAAGGCCAAUCAAACCGGGAGAUAGCUGGUUCUCCCCGAAAGCUAUUUAGGUAGCGCCUCGUGAAUUCAUCUCCGGGGGUAGAGCACUGUUUCGGCAAGGGGGUCAUCCCGACUUACCAACCCGAUGCAAACUGCGAAUACCGGAGAAUGUUAUCACGGGAGACACACGGCGGGUGCUAACGUCCGUCGUGAAGAGGGAAACAACCCAGACCGCCAGCUAAGGUCCCAAAGUCAUGGUUAAGUGGGAAACGAUGUGGGAAGGCCCAGACAGCCAGGAUGUUGGCUUAGAAGCAGCCAUCAUU